rnacentral:rRNA from 1 species
CCUACGGGAGGCAGCAGUGAGGAAUAUUGGUCAAUGGCCGGAAGGCUGAACCAGCCAAGUCGCGUGAGGGAAUAAGGCCCUAUGGGUCGUCAACCUCUUUUGUCAGGGAGCAAUUGAGUCCACGUGUGGGCUUAGCGAGAGUACCUGAAGAAAAAGCAUCGGCUAACUCCGUGCCAGCAGCCGCGGUAAUACGGAGGAUGCGAGCGUUAUCCGGAUUUAUUGGGUUUAAAGGGUGCGUAGGCGGAAUAUCAAGUCAGCGGUAAAAAUUCGGGGCUCAACCCCGUCGUGCCGUUGAAACUGAUGUUCUUGAGUGGGCGAGAAGUAUGCGGAAUGCGUGGUGUAGCGGGGAAAUGCAUAGAUAUCACGCAGAACUCCGAUUGCGAAGGCAGCAUACCGGCGCCCAACUGACGCUGAAGCACGAAAGCGUGGGUAUCGAACAGGAUUAGAUACCCUGGUAGUC